GGGGAAUGUUGCACAAUGGAGGAAACUCUGAUGCAGCAACGCCGCGUGAGUGAUGAAGGUCUUCGGAUUGUAAAGCUCUGUCUUCUGGGACGAUAAUGACGGUACCAGAGGAGGAAGCCACGGCUAACUACGUGCCAGCAGCCGCGGUAAUACGUAGGUGGCAAGCGUUGUCCGGAUUUACUGGGCGUAAAGGAUGUGUAGGCGGAUAUUUAAGUGAGAUGUGAAAGACCCGGGCUUAACUUGGGCAGUGCAUUUCAAACUGGAUGUCUAGAGUGCAGGAGAGGAAAGCAGAAUUCCUAGUGUAGCGGUGAAAUGCGUAGAGAUUAGGAAGAAUACCAGUGGCGAAGGCGGCUUUCUGGACUGUAACUGACGCUGAGGCAUGAAAGCGUGGGGAGCAAAC
rnacentral:rRNA from 1 species